rnacentral:lncRNA from 1 species
CCCAAGUAAUCACAGCAAGAGUCUACUGUAGAUUUGAUCUAACCUGAGAUAGAACACUACUAGAUGAUUGAGAACAACCUCUCGCGUUGUCCUUGUCUUCUUCCCUUUCUUUCUUCCUUUUCUGCCUGGUUUUCCUACUUUUCUUUGGAAUCUCGUGGCUGUUUCCUUCUCCCACGUUGCUGCCCUAUUUAUGCCUUUUUCUGCCUCCAAAACGCAGCCACCACACCCCCCUAAUGUUAAUUAGGGUUAGGUUAAGAAGGGGUGAGCUGUGGGCUGCCCAAGCCCACUAUGGGCUGAAUUUGUGGGCUGCCAGCCCAACAACCUCCCCCCUCAGCCCAUAAGGGAGGCUGUCCCAUGACUCCUCAAUGUGAAGCCAUGCCGACCAGCUGUCGGUAUAUCUCCUGUCUUUCUUUUGGUAAAGUUUUUAUCAACAUGUCUGCUCCGGUUUUAUCUGUGUGAAUUUUUUGAAGCUGUAACUACUUCUCUUCAAAUACAUUUCGAAUAUAGUGGUAUCUGAUAUCUAUAUGCUUUGACUUGGAAUGAAACAUUGGGUUCUUACACAAAUGGAUGGCACUCUGGCUGUCACAAUGCACCACAUAAUUUUUUUGUUUCAGCCCCAAUUCUUGUAAGAAUUCUUUCAUCCAUAACAUUUCUUUGCAUACCUCUGUAGCAGCAAUAUAUUAUGCUUCCGUGGUGGAGAGAGCAAUACACCUUUGCAACCUGGAUUGUCAUGACACAGCUCCCCCUGCAAAAGUAAGUACAUAACCUGAAGUAGACUUUCUCGUAUCUAUAUCUCUUGCCAUAUCUGCAUCUGUGUAACCUGUCAACACAUGUUGUCCACCUCCAAAGCUUAAACAAACCUUAGAGCUCCCUCUGAGAUAUCUAAAAAUCCACUUCACUGCUGCCCAGUGCUCUUCGCUUGGAUUUGCAAGAAAUCUGCUAGUAACACCAACUGCAUAUGCGAUGUCUGGCCUCGUACAUACCAUUGCAUACAUUAAACUUCCAACUGCUGAAGCAUAAGAAACCUUUUGCAUUUUCUCCUUCUCUUCAUCACUUGACGGACUCUGUUCUGAGCACAACUUGAAGUGACCUGCAAGAGGAGAACCAACUGGCUUUGCAUUGCUCAUACUGAAUCUUUCCAAUAUCUUCUCGAUGUAUUUCUCCUAUGACAACCAAAUCUUCUUAUUUUUCCUGUCACGGGAAAUCUGCAUACCUAGUAUUUGCUUUGCUGGCCCCAUGUCCUUCAUUGCAAAAGACUCACUCAGUUCUUUCUUCAAUCUGUCAAUUUUAGAUAUAUCUUUUCCAAGAAUAAGCAUGUCAUCAAUAUAAAGUAAGAGAAUAAUAAAAUCCUCACCAAACCAUUUGAUGUACACACAAUGAUCUGAAGCCGUUCUUUUGUAUCCAUUUUCUAUCAUAAAUGAAUCAAACUUUCUGUACCAUUGUCUUGGAGCUUGCUUUAGCCCAUACAAGCUCUUCUUCAAUUUACAAACAAAGUUAUCUUUACCUUUAACUUUGAAGCAUUCUGGUUGCUCCAUAUAAAUUUCCUCUUCCAAAUCCUCAUGAAGAAAAGAUGUCUUCACAUCUAACUGUUCAACCUCCAAGUCCUGGCUAGCAGCAAUACCAAGAGCAACACGAAUAGAAGACAUUUUAACAACAGGAGAAAAAAUCUCUUCAAAGUCAAUACCUUUCUUUUGACCAAAGUCUUUCACAACCAAUCUAGCUUUGUACUUUGGUUGAGAACAAUAUUCUUGAGUCUUCAACCUGAAAACCCACUUGUUCUUCAAGGCCUUCAUUCCAUUUGGUAGCAGCACCAAAUCAUAAGUGUGGUUCUUCUGAAGAGCAUCCAUCUCUUCCUGCAUAGCAACGAACCAUUUCUCUUUCUGCUCACUUUCAACUACUUCCUAGUAACUCUCUAGUUCACCUGCAUCAGUAAGCAUCACAUACUCAUCUCUAGAGUAUCUUCUGGAAGGUUGACGUUGUCUAGAAGAUCUUCUCAAUUGAGGUUUUGCGGGAAGUUGCUCUCCAACUUCUUCUUGCUCAACAUGUCCUGCAGGUAGAUUAACGUCAGGCUCUACACUAUCUUCCUGCACAUCUCCCCCAUCACUGUGAUAUACUGGAGGAAUAAUUGGGUCACAAUCUGCUAAUCCUUCUAUAGAAGUAUUGGCUGGUGUCUUCUUCUUCAAAUCUUCAAAGGUUUGAUCCUCAAAGAAGACUACAUCUCGGCUUCUGAACACCUUCUGCUUUUCUGGAUCCCAAAGCCUGUAACCAAAAUGAUCAUGUGAGUAACUAAGAAAAAUACAUUCUUUAGUCUUACCAUCCAGCUUGGACCUCUUAUUAUCUGGAACAUGUACAAAUGCACGACAACUAAACACUCUCAAAUACUUGUAAGAAACAUCUUUCCCUGACCAUACAUGCUCUGCAACAUCACCAUCUAAGGCUAUACAUGGUGAUAAGUUGAUCACAUCAACUGCAGUCCUCAAAGCCUCAUCCCAAAACCUUUUGGGUAGCUUGGCCUGUGAAAGCAUACAUCUGAUCUUUUCUAUGAUGGUGCGGUUCAUUAUCUCUGCAAUUGCAUUAUGCUGAGGUGUACCAGAAACUGUCAUCUCAUGUUGGAUCCCAUGUGACUUGCAAUAGUCAUUAAACAAUCCUAUAUACUCACCACCAUUAUCUGAUCUUAUGCAUUUCAAUUUCCUUUCUAUCUCCCUUUCAACCCUGGCAUGAAACUCUUUGAAGACAUUAAUCACUUGAUCUUUAGUCUUCAAAGCAUAGGCCCAAACUUUCCUAGAAAAAUCAUAUAUAAAAGUGACAAAAUAAAGUGCACCACUUAUACCAAGAACAUCAACAGAUCCACUAUGAGUUUUUGUCCUCAAAGGACCACAUACAUCUGUAUAAACAUGGUCUAAGACAUGCAUUUUUCUAGACAAAGCAGCACUAACAAAUGAAACUCUAUGUUGUUUACCUGCUAAACAAUCAAUACAAGGGUUCAGAUGUAUACCUCUGAGGUAUGGUAAUACCUCUCUCUUAGAAAUAGCUUGCAGCCCCUUCUCGCUCAUGUGUCCCAGUCGCCUAUGCCACAACUCCAUGCUGAAGUCUUUUUCUGUAGCAUUUAACUGCUCACCAUAAACUUUAGCCUGCAACCUGUACAAAGUAUGACAUUUCUUUCCAUUAGCUAUAACAAGAGAACCCUUACUGAUCUUCCAUUACCCUUUGUGAAAUCUGCUAUCAUAGUUUUCAUCAUCUAUCCUUCCAACUGAAAUUAGAUUCAGCCUCAAGUCAACCACAUGCCUCACAUCCUUAAGCACUAACUUGCAGCCAAGGUUGGUCUUUAAAUGGAUAUCACCCAUGCCUUUGAUGUCUGCUGUACCAUAGUUGCCCAUCUUGACAACACCAAAGUUUCCAGACCUAUAUGUAGCAAAAAACUCCCUCCGUGGUGUAGCAUGAUAAGAAGCACCUGUGUCAAUCACCCACUCAAGAUCCUGACACACACAAGAAAAAAUAUCAUCAGAAGAAGAUAAAAUCAAAUAAUCACCACCCUGCAUUGUAGUUGUGAUAUUAUCUUUUGACUCUAUAGACUCCACUUCUUUUCCCUUUUUCUUGCACUUCUUAGGUUGCUUACAUUGGUUUUUGUAAUGUCCUUUCUCACCACAAUUAUAGCAAACAAUAUCUUUUCUUGAUCUUGACUUGCUUCUACCCAUGCGUGAACUGCUUCUAGACUUUGACCUUCCUCUGUUCUCUGAGAUAAAUGCUUGUGAAUCAUUCUGAGAUGUUGCCGAACUCUUUCUUCUCAACUCCUCAUUCAACAAACUACUUGUUACUUGACUCAUAGUGACAACACCAUCUGGCGCAGAAUUACUGAGGGAAACCACCAGUAUCUCCCAACUUUCUGGUAAUGAACUGAGAAGUAACAAUGCCUGCAACUCAUCAUCAAGAGACAUUUUCAUAGAGGAUAACUGAUUAGUAAUACUUUGCAUUUCAUUCAAAUGUUCAGCAAUAGAAGCACCUUCUUUAUAUUUUAGGUUCACAAGUUUUAUGAUCAGAAAAGCUUUGUUGCCAGCUGUUUUUCUUUCAUAGAGACUUUCCAACUUUUUCCAAAAAGAAUAUGCAGAAAUUUUAGUAGAAACAUGGUGAAAGACACUAUCAUCAAGCCACUGUCAAAGAAAUCCAAUUGUUUUUCGAUCUAACCUCUUCCACUCAUCAUCUGUCAUAGUUGUGGGUUUUGCACUAUCCCCCUACAAAGGUUCAUACAAAUCUUUGUAAUACAAGAGAUCUUCCAUUCUUGGUUUCCAUAUCAUCCAAUUGUUUCCAUUCAAACUAAUCAUGCGAGAAACAUUACUGGCCUCCAUAUUAAAAUACAAUAAUUAAAUCACCAAAACCCCUCUUUGCUCUGAUACCAAUUGGUGAGGAUAUAAACAGGAAUAAACUUUGUAUAUGAACAAAUACUAGAAGACCAUAAUACGCAACGGAAUUAAAUGGAAGCACAAUCAAACAGAACACCAAGAUAUACAUGGAAAACCCCUCCAAUGUGAAGGGUAAAAACCACGGGGCAAAUUAGAGAUAAUCCACUAUGAGAAUAAUGAAUAUACAAAUCUCAAUCUCUUGCCCUAAACCCUAGCAACAAUCUCAAGAGAACAACUGGGAUACAAGAAUCACGUCAUUGCCCACAAUAUCUAAAACCUCCGCAAGUAAUCACAGCAAGAGUCUAUUGUAGAUUUGAUCUAACCUGAGAUAGAACACUGCUAGCAAUGUGAAGGGUAAAAACCAUGGGGCAAACUAGAGAUAAUCCACUAUGAGAAUAAUGAAUAUACAAAUCUCAAUCUCUUGCCCUAAACCCUAGCGAAAUCUUAAGAGAACAACUGGGAUACAAGGAUUACGUCACUGCUCAUAAUAUCUAAAACCUCCGCAAGUAAUCACAGCAAGAGUCUACUGUAGAUUUGAUCUAACCUGAGAUAGAACACUGCUAGAUGAUUGAGAACAACCUCUCUGCGUUGUCCUUGUCUUCUUCCCUUUCUUUCUCUUCCUUUUCUGCCUUGUUUUCCUCCUUUUCUUUGGAAUCCCGUGGCUGUUUCCUUCUCCCACGUUGCUGCCCUAUUUAUGCCUUUUU